rnacentral:rRNA from 1 species
CGUAGGGGCCAAGCGUUGUUCGGAUUUACUGGGCGUAAAGGGCGCGUAGGCGGCGAAUCAAGUCAGCUGUGAAAUCUCCGAGCUUAACUCGGAACGGUCAGCUGAUACUGUUUUGCUAGAGUGCAGAAAGGGCAACCGGAAUUCUUGGUGUAGCGGUGAAAUGCGUAGAUAUCAAGAGGAACACCUGAGGCGAAGGCGGGUUGCUAGGCUGACACUGACGCUGAAGCGCGAAAGCUAGGGUAGCAAACGGGAUUAGAUACCCCGGUAGCCCUAGCCCUAAACGAUGUAUGCUUGGUGUCUGGAGUUUUUAUCUCUGGGUGCCGUCGCUAACGCUUUUAGCAUACCGCCUGGGGAGUACGCACGCAAGUGUG